rnacentral:lncRNA from 1 species
AUGGGGGGGCGGAGCCUGGGGGUGCACAGACGUCGGGGGGCCGGCCGUGCUUCUCUGCACCAUGGACGCGGCCCUCUCUCCCCUCCCACACGGCCGGGCUCCAGCAAGGGCUGGACGCACCCGGCUCCUGCCCACCAACCGCCCCGGGCAGAGGGAGGGGACCUGCAGGUGCCCCCACAUAUGUACACACAUGUGCAUAUAUACAUCUAUACGCAUGUGUGCAUGCAUGCAAACACAGGAGUGUGCACACACAAACACACAUGUGCAUGCAUGCAAAAACAGGAGUGUAAACACACACGUGCAUGCAUGCAAACACAGGAGUGUGCACACACAAACACACACGUGCAUGCAUGCAAACACAGGAGUGUGCACACACAAACACACACGUGCGUGCAUGCAAACACAGGAGUGUGCACACACAAACACACACGUGCAUGCAUGCAAACACAGGAGUGUGCACACACAAACACACACGUGCAUGCAUGCAAACACAGGAGUGUGCACACACAAACACACACGUGCGUGCAUGCAAACACAGGAGUGUGCACACAAACACACACGUGCGUGCAUGCAAACACAGGAGUGUGCACACAAACACACACGUGCGUGCAUGCAAACACAGGAGUGUGCACACACAAACACACACGUGCGUGCAUGCAAACACAGGAGUGUGCACACACAAACACACAUGUGCGUGCAUGCAAACACAGGAGUGUGCACACACAAACACACAUGUGCGUGCAUGCAAACACAGGAGUGUGCACACACAAACACACAUGUGCAUGCAUGUCCAUGCACAGACAUCUGCUCACACACGUACCCACACAAAAACAUGUGCACACACAUGCACAUACACAGUUGCAUACACAAAUACACAUGCAUACGCAAACACACGUACUCAAAGAUGCAUGCAGCAACAUAAGCACCAUGCACAAAAAAAAAUCACACAUACACACAGGUUCAUACACACAUACAACACACGUGUAUUCACAAAUGCAAGCAUACACUAACACGCAUGCAUUCACAAAUAUGCACAUAUACAACAUGCAUGCAUUUGCAAAUAUGCACAUGCACAAACGUGUGCAUUCACACAUGCACUCACAUUCAACACACAUGCAUUCAUACACACACACAUAUACGAGGGCACAUGCUUACACAUAUACAAACAUGCAUGCAUUCACAAAUACACAUAGAGAAAGACACAUGUAUGCACAGAUACAUACACAACAUGCAAACACACAUGCACACACAAACGUAUACAUAGACACAUGCACACAUGUAUGCAAACACAUAUGCGUGCACACGCCCCAACACACAUGCACACACACCGCUUGGUUACAGAAAACCUAUUUUCAGAGACCAGAAACCCCAAGCGUCACCUGCCACGUGCAGAAACACUCAGUGGGGAUUUGA